GUGUCAGCAGCCGCGGUAAGACGAACCACACGAACGUUAUUCGGAAUUACUGGGCUUAAAGGGUGCGUAGGCUGCGCGGACAGUUGGGUGUGAAAUCCCUCGGCUUAACCGAGGAACUGCGCCCAAAACUACCGUGCUCGAGGAAGAUAGAGGUGAGCGGAACUUACGGUGGAGCGGUGAAAUGCGUUGAUAUCGUAAGGAACACCUGUGGCGAAAGCGGCUCACUGGGUCUUUUCUGACGCUGAAGCACGAAAGCUAGGGGAGCAAACGGGAUUAGAUACCCUAGUAGUCC
rnacentral:rRNA from 1 species